UUUUUUUUUUCAUGAAAUCCACUAAUAAAAGAUGAAUCAGAGUUUAUAGAAGUUGUUUUGAUACCACUCGAGGACCUUUUGGAAAGACUUGAUGAAUAUUCCCGGACUGGACACAGUGUUGAUUCACGAGUUUAUUCAUAUGCAUUAGGCCUACAGCCUAGGAUAUCGUAACGCUUUGUAUUUUUUUUUUAUAUAAGAUAAAAUAAAUUAUGUCAUUUGUAAAGUGACUUCAGUGUGAUAUAUG